ACUCAAAGGAAUAGACGGGGGCCCGCACAAGCAGUGGAGUAUGUGGUUUAAUUCGAAGCAACGCGAAGAACCUUACCAGGUCUUGACAUCCAUAUAACCCUCCGGAGAUGGAGGGGUGCCCUUCGGGGAGAUAUGAGACAGGUGGUGCAUGGUUGUCGUCAGCUCGUGUCGUGAGAUGUUGGGUUAAGUCCCGCAACGAGCGCAACCCUUGCCAUUAGUUGCUACGCGAGAGCACUCUAAUGGGACCGCUACCGACAAGGUGGAGGAAGGUGGGGACGAUGUCAAAUCAUCAUGCCCCUUAUGACCUGGGCUACACACGUACUACAAUGGCCGUUAACAACGGGAGGCAAAGCAGCGAUGCGGAGCAAACCCCCAAAAACGGUCUCAGUUCGGAUCGCAGGCUGCAACCCGCCUGCGUGAAGUCGGAAUUGCUAGUAAUCGCGGAUCAGCAUGCCGCGGUGAAUACGUUCCCGGGCCUUGCACACACCGCCCGU
rnacentral:rRNA from 1 species